rnacentral:rRNA from 1 species
GACGAACGCUGGCGGCGUGCUUAACACAUGCAAGUCGAACGGAAAGGCCCUGCUUUUGUGGGGUGCUCGAGCGGCGAACGGGUGAGUAACACGUGAGUAACCUGCCCUUGACUUUGGGAUAACUUCAGGAAACUGGGGCUAAUACCGGAUAGGAGCUCCUGCUGCAUGGUGGGGGUUGGAAAGUUUCGGCGGUUGGGGAUGGACUCGCGGCUUAUCAGCUUGUUGGUGGGGUAGUGGCCUACCAAGGCAUUGACGGGUAGCCGGCCUGAGAGGGGGGCCGGGGACAUUGGGACUACGGUACGGCGCAGUCGCCUACAGGAGGCAGCGGUGGGGAAUAUUGCACAGUGGGCGGAAGCCUGAUGCGGCGACGCCGCGUGUGGGAUGACGGCCUUCGGGUUGUGAACCGCAUUCGCCUAUGACGAAGCGUGAGUGACGGUAAUAGGUAAAGAAGCACCGGCUAACUACGUG